rnacentral:tRNA from 1 species
AGGGCUGAGCCAAAUGGAUGGGCGGCCGGGGGUCCAACCUCGGCGGAAUGCAGGUUCGACUCCUGCCGGCCCUG